GAUGAACGCUGGCGGCGUGCCUAAUACAUGCAAGUCGAACGAAACUUCUUUAUCACCGAGUGCUUGCACUCACCGAUAAAGAGUUGAGUGGCGAACGGGUGAGUAACACGUGGGCAACCUGCCCAAAAGAGGGGGAUAACACUUGGAAACAGGUGCUAAUACCGCAUAACCAUAGUUACCGCAUGGUAACUGUGUAAAAGGUGGCUAUACUACCGCUUUUGGAUGGGCCCGCGGCGCAUUAGCUAGUUGGUAGGGUAAAGGCUUACCAAGGCAAUGAUGCGUAGCCGAAUUGAGAGGUUGAUCGGCCACAUUGGGACUGAGACACGGCCCAAACUCCUACGGGAGGCAGCAGUAGGGAAUCUUCCACAAUGGGCGAAAGCCUGAUGGAGCAACGCCGCGUGGGUGAAGAAGGUCUUCGGAUCGUAAAACCCUGUUGUUAGAGAAGAAAGUGCGUGAGAGUAACUGUUCACGUUUCGACGGUAUCUAACCAGAAAGCCACGGCUAACUACGUG
rnacentral:rRNA from 1 species